rnacentral:rRNA from 1 species
GGUACCGGCAACAAACCGUCCAAUGGGCUGGUUUUUGAUGCUAACCACCCCCAAACUUCUAGACACCUUUCGGGGUGUGUGGUGGGGAGGGCGUGGGACCCGAGAAGAUUGGUUUAAACGUAUUAACAGGUGUGACGCAGAGUGGUAGUCCCGCGUGUCUUAUGGCUUGGCACGUUGAAAGGCGCAGACCGUUUCCUAGGCAAAUCCGGGAGACAUUGAAGGUUGAGGCCUGAUCGUGACCCCUUUAUUUAGGGGGAAGUAGGAUAACCCUGUGCUGCCAAGAAAAGCAUCGACGUGAGGUUUUAGCCGCCCGUACCCGAAACCGACACAGGUAGUCAGGUAGAGAAUACUAAGGCGAUCGAGAGAAUCGUGGUUAAGGAACUCGGCAAAAUGCCCCCGUAACUUUGGGAGAAGGGGGACCUAAACCCUGAAGGGCUUCACGUUCUAGGGGUGAGGGUCGCAGAGUCCAGGGAGAAGCGACUGUUUAUCAAAAACACAGGUCCGUGCGAAGCCGCAAGGCGAUGUAUACGGACUGACGCCUGCCCGGUGCUGGAAGGUUAAGCGGACCGGUCAGCCCACCUUGUGUGGGUGAAGCUGGGAAGUUAAGCCCCAGUAAACGGCGUGGUAACUAUAACCAUCCUAAGGUAGCGAAAUUCCUUGUCGGGUAAGUUCCGACCUGCACGAAUGGCGUAACGACUUCUCUACUGUCUCGACCACGAACUCGGCGAAAUUGCAUUACGAGUAAAGAUGCUCGUUACGCGCAGAAGGACGGAAAGACCCCGGGGCCUUUACUAUAGCUUGGUAUUGGUGUUCGGUACGGCUUGUGUAGGAUAGGUGGGAGACUGUGAAACUCAGACGCUAGUUUGGGUGGAGUCAUUGUUGAAAUACCACUCUGGCCGUGCUGCACAUCUAACCUCGGCCCGUGAUCCGGGCCAGGAACAGUGCCUGGUGGGUAGUUUAACUGGGGCGGUUGCCUCCUAAAAGGUAACGGAGGCGCUCAAAGGUUUCCUCAGCCUGGUCGGUAACCAGGUGUCGAGUGUAAGUGCACAAGGAAGCUUGACUGUGAGACUGACAGGUCGAACAGGUACGAAAGUAGGAACUAGUGAUCCGGCACUGGCUUGUGGAAGCGGUGUCGCUCAACGGAUAAAAGGUACCCCGGGGAUAACAGGCUGAUCCUGCCCAAGAGUUCAUAUCGACGGCAUGGUUUGGCACCUCGAUGUCGGCUCGUCGCAUCCUGGGGCUGGAGUAGGUCCCAAGGGUUGGGCUGUUCGCCCAUUAAAGCGGUACGCGAGCUGGGUUCAGAACGUCGUGAGACAGUUCGGUCCCUAUCCUCUGCGCGCGUUGGAGAAUUGAGAAGGGCUGUCCCUAGUACGAGAGGACCGGGACGGACGAACCACUGGUGUGCCAGUUAUCCCGCCAGGGGUAUGGCUGGUUGGCUACGUUCGGGAAGGAUAACCGCUGAAAGCAUCUAAGCGGGAAGCCUGCUUCAAGACAAAUUCUCCCUCCAACAUUUGUUGGUGAAGGCCCCCGGAAGACUACCGGGUUGAUAGACCAGACGUGGAAGAGAAGUAAUUCUUGGAGCUGACUGGUACUAAUGGCCAACCAC